rnacentral:rRNA from 1 species
UACGUAGGGUGCGAGCGUUGUCCGGAAUUACUGGGCGUAAAGAGCGUGUAGGCGGCUAGAUAGGUCCGUUGUGAAAACUCGAGGCUCAACCUCGAGACGUCGAUGGAAACCAUCUGGCUAGAGUCCGGAAGAGGAGAGUGGAAUUCCUGGUGUAGCGGUGAAAUGCGCAGAUAUCAGGAAGAACACCCGUGGCGAAGGCGGCUCUCUGGUACGUGACUGACGCUGAGACGCGAAAGCGUGGGGAGCAAACAGG